GAACCCACGUAUGUGGCAAAA
rnacentral:snRNA from 1 species